rnacentral:rRNA from 1 species
GAGAAUGUGAUUUGCAGAUUCAGUGAAUCAUCGAAUCUUUGAACGCAUCUUGCGCUCCUUGGUAUUCCUCGGAGCAUGCCUGUUUGAGUGUCGUGAAUUUCUCCAAAAAAUUGGUUUUUUGUUAUGAAAAACUUUUUUUGCGGGUCCUUGGGCUUGGUGAUGGCAUAGCCUCUUUGUAUCACCUUGCCUUAAAUGUAUGAGUGGAUGAGUGUCAGCCAUAGAUUUUUGUUAAGGCAAACCCAUAAAAAUCUUGUGCUUUUGUCAUCUGCUUCCAAACAAACACGCGUAAUAUACACACUUGUGUGCAUAUUCUUUUCUGGCCUCAAAUCAGGUAAGAUUACCCGCUGAACUUAAGCAUAUCAAUAAGCGGAGGAAAAGAAACUAACAAGGAUUCCCUUAGUAACGGCGAGUGAAGCGGGAAUAGCUCAAAUUUGAAAGCUGGCAGCAAUGUCCGCGUUGUAAUCUCGAGAAGUGUUUUCCGUGCUGGACCAUAGAUAUGUUCCUUGGAAUAGGAUGUCAAAGAGGGUGAGAAUCCCGUACAUGCUAUGGACGCCCAGUGCUUUGUGAUACACUUUCGAAGAGUCGAGUUGUUUGGGAAUGCAGCUCAAAAUGGGUGGUAAAUUCCAUCUAAAGCUAAAUAUUGGGGAGAGACCGAUAGCAAACAAGUACCGUGAGGGAAAGAUGAAAAGCACUUUGGAAAGAGAGUUAAACAGUACGUGAAAUUGUCAAAAGGGAAGCGCUUCAAGUCAGAUAUGGCUUUAAAUGUUCAGCCUUUCGGUGUAUUCAUUUUUUGUCAGGCCAGCAUCGAUUUUGAACGUCGGAUAAGGGUAGAAGGAAUGUAGCAUACUUUCGGGUAUGUGUUAUAGCCUUUUACUGGAUACGACGAUCGGGAUCGAGGUUCGCAGCACACCCUUUUUGGGCAGGUCUUCGGACACUUUUGUGCUUAGGAUGCGGCGAAAAAGGGCC